rnacentral:lncRNA from 1 species
ACACAUAAAAUGUCACAAACAACUUUUUAAAUAUGAUAUCUUCUGGAGAAAACUUUUGAUGGUUUUUCCCUAAAUCACCACGUACUUCUCCUUGCAUCUUGUCAAUAUAUUUUUUCAAAAAAUACCUUUACUUAAAUAUUUUUUACUUUUAUCAUUUAUUUUUUUACUUUUAUUUAAAAUCCUAAAUCCUCUUUCCUUCUUUACUCUUCUUUGUACCAUCCCUACCUCCACAAUCUCAUUUUUCGUUUUCCCCUUUCCUCUCCUUUUUUUUCCAUUUCCGUUUUCUUUCUUCUCUUUCCAUUUUCGUUUUUCUUUCUUCCCUUUUUCUUCUGUUGCUUCCAUUUUC